rnacentral:rRNA from 1 species
GAUGAACGCUAGCGGCAGGCCUAAUACAUGCAAGUCGGACGGGAUUUGGGAGCUUGCUCCCGAUGAGAGUGGCGCACGGGUGCGUAACACGUAUGUAACCUACCUUUGUCAGGGGGAUAGCCUCUCGAAAGAGAGAUUAAGACCGCAUAACAUUACAAUGUGGCAUCACAAAGUAAUCAAAUAUUUAUAGGACAAAGAUGGGCAUGCGGAACAUUAGCUAGUUGGUACGGUAACGGCGUACCAAGGCUACGAUGUUUAGGGGAUCUGAGAGGAUGGCCCCCCACACUGGUACGUAGACACGGACCAGACUCCGACGAGAGGCAGCAGUAAGGAAUAUUGGUCAAUGGACGGAAGUCUGAACCAGCCAUGGCGCGGGCAGGAAGACGGCCCUACGGGUUGGAAACUGCUUUUGCAGGGGAAUAAACCCCGAUAUGUAUAUCGGGCGGAAUGUACUCUGAGAAUAAGGAUCGGCUAACUCCGUGCCAGCCGCCGCCGUAA